ensembl:lncRNA
CUCCCCCCUCCAAGGGGACAGGGAUUUUUCUCUAUUUUGUUCAUUAUUAUAAUAGCAAUGCCUAGAACAGGACCUGCCAUAUAGUAGGUCUUUGUUGUUAGUGCUGUGGAGUGGAUCUCAAUUCCUAGCAACACUGUGCAGCAGAGUGGAACCCUGCCUGGUCUUUUUGCACCAUCCUCUCACCUUCUCGCGCUACAUCAGACAAGGCUCUGCUGCUAUUCAUAGGGUUUUCAUGGCCAAUUUUUCAGAAGUGGGUGGCCAGGUCCUUCUUCCUAGUCUGUUUUAGUCCAGAAGCUCCUCUGAAACCUGUCCAUCAUGAGUGACUCUGCUAGUAUUUGAAAUACCAGUGGCAUGGCUUUCAGCAUCACAGUAAGACACAGCCGCCGCUGUAUGACAACUGACAGACGGGUGGUGUGGUUCCCUGACCAGGAGAGUAACCAGGGCUGCUGUAGUGAAAGCAUCAAAUCUUAACCGCUAGACCACUAGAGCUGGGCAUAUCUUAGGUACUCAAUAAAUAUUUGUUCAGUGAAUUUUAAAUGAAUAUUUGUUGACUGAAGAUUGAAAGAAUCUGGUGACCCUAUAAUGAUCACUGGAGUGGAAGGUUAGAGUAUACAGGAAAGGUUCUCACACAAUAGUGCUCAGCAACAUGAUCUGGCAAAAGACAUCAAAAGCAUUUCCUUUCAGAAUCAUUCAAAUUACUCUAAAUCCUCCAGAGCCAUAAUUGAUGGGCAGGAAUAUGACAAGUGUUGUCAUAUGACUUGAUGAGGAAUAGGCAAAACUAGAAAAUUCACUUCUCCUAUGGACAGUCGUGGAAGACAAGGCUCUCUCUUAGGGACUUAGAUAAAUCUAUUAUUUCAAGGUUUCUUGGCUAAUAUUUUAGUUAUUGAUUGCUGAAUAAAGUAAAUACCUAAAAACUUAAAGGCAUAAAAUAGUGUUUUGUUAUGACUCUUAAUUCCAUGGCUUGACUGCUCAGUUCUGCUCCACGUGGUAUUGCUUCAGUCAUCUGGAGGCUUGACCAGGAUCUCAGCCAGACCCCUCAGCUAGGGAUCUCAGUUCUCUCCUACAUGGGCUUCUCCAUAUGAAGUUUAAGUCAUGGUGACUGGGUUUCAAAGGAAUGCUCCAAGAGCAAGCAUUCCAAGAAGUAGGAAGCAGAAGCUGACAGGAAACCUAAAUGUACAGUUGAGUUAACUUCGAGGAUAACCUUUUACCAAUGGAAGAUAGAAGCUGGUGGAUAGAUGCUCCAGCCUCCAGUCCCUCAGGAAGAUGACUCUGGGAAACAUGAUGUAUGUUUCUCAGAAUUUCCCAGUGAACUGAGCUCCUUUUGCCCAGAGAGAGAAUUUUGGUAAUGAACCCUUAUGUUGGCUUUUUCUACUUUCCAAACUCACUUUUCCUGGUCUCUCAUUCCUGUGUCCUAGGAUCACCACCCAAAUAAACUAGGUGUACCCAAGAUCUUCUCUCUGACUCUUCUCUUGGGUGUAAACAAACUUAGAGAGGUAUUUUGUCUGAUGAGAAAAAUCCUUUCAUGUUCCAAUUAAAGAACAAAGCUCAAAGUUAGGACUUGUGGAAAUGGUUGAAAUUGUGACUGUAAGUUCCAUCCUUCCAUUUCAGUACAAGGACUUACAGUCUGAGGGCUGGACCUGUGCUUCAGUGUAUAAAGCUCCUGGAAGGGAAGGGGAAGGUUUAGUUCUCUGUCAGUUGGACAACCAACUAGAAAGGAUGAAUCAUUCUGUCUUGGCCAUUCCUGCAAAGAAUUAGAUGUCUCCAGUUUAGAAAUAAUGCAUUUAAAUGUGCAUGCAGCUUUCCUUUUUCAAGAUAAAG